UCUUUAAUAACGAAUCUGAGGUGAUCUUACAGGAUUUCCUUUCAGAAGCAAAAUAUGUUCCUUUGUUGUUUUCUUAAUAAAUGAGGUGAAAAUGAAUUAAU